AUGCCUUUUGCCAGAUGCCAUUUUAGCAUAAAGAUAAAAUAUAAUGGAAAAAAACUUUUCCAAGUACAUCAAAAGUUGCAUAGUUGUUACUUUCUUCUUCUUUUUGCCCACUUGCUAGAUAGGUCUCCCCCAUUAUGCAUGAUGCGCCAAUUUGGGAGGGUGAAGGCUAGCACGUGCUCCCUCUGGGUGACCUUGAAGUGCUACAGCAGGUCCCUUCUACAGUGGGCCAGAGAACACUUACAGAUACUUCAUCCCCUCCACCUCUCCAAAACUGCUGUCCACUAAAUAUGAACUAUUACUUGUAUAAAUAAACUGAUUUAUAUUGCUGAAU
ensembl:lncRNA